GAGGUCUCAGUAAUGGCUGAAUCAGCGAGGAACCCGACAGGAAAUGAUUGGAAACAAGAACAAAAUGAUGACGAUGAUGAUGAUGAUGAUGAUGAUGAUGAUGAUGAUGAUGAAGAAGGUUAGAUGGAGACCUCUCUCAAUUCCUUCCUCCUGUAGCCUACAACUUUUCUGCACUCUCUGCGAAAAUGGUCAGCGUGUGAUUCUGUAACAAUCCUCGAGAACAUUUAAUUACUCUAUUUGUGAUUAAGGUGAAUAAAUCUACGUUUAUAUGUUUUUUAGCAAC
rnacentral:lncRNA from 1 species